GUUCACAACCUGUUCGACAAAAUGCCUCACAGAAACAAACAAACUCUAUUUUGCAUUUUUCCCAUACAUGUUCUUCGGCAAUCAAUUGAUGCAGCCUCUCUUUAAGCUCAGGCCCGUGUCUACCACCGCUACGAGCGUUGAUGAACACGACGAUUGGAGCCUCGGGUGGCCCGACAUUGAGGUUGGUCCGCUUGUGAAACCGAGCCUCGCUGGCUGUAGGGUCUUGGAGGCGAAUAGCGUCGCGCAUGGCAAAACAAAGGUACUGCGGCAUUACUAGCCUCCACCGCAGCUCUUCCUUGUCGAUUCUCAUUACACAUCUUGGGUCGUGUCUGCAAGUUCAUCACAGAGAGGCUAGAGAAUGAAACCAAAGACAAGGGUGCCAGAUUUGCUCAAUCUUUUACAGUUUUUGGUGAUCCAUCAGUCAAAGUAGGUAGGCAUGGCAAGGAAAGUUAAGAGGAAAGGUAAAGGCAUUAGUGAGUCUCAAGACUCUUAACCACAAGAAACUCAGUCAACUAGGCCUUCAUUUGAUCAUAAUGAAGUUUGUGAGGAGGAGCUCUCACAAAUUCUACCUCCAUCAUCUGAGCCUCAAACUAAUGAAGGAGCACCUAAGGCCUCUCUGAUUCCAUUAUAAUAGGUACUAAUGCUGGAAAAAAGAGGGGUUGAGGAAAGGCUAAAGGCAUCAAUGCCGGAGAUGGUGAAAUAGAGGUUGAGAUUUAUGAUGGCAAAAUACCCAAAUUUUGAGCUAGAGAUACGCUCGAUACAGAGCUCAACGCUUUAAGCAUAAACAGCCAGAUAAGGAAGUUAAGAAAGCGUUUGCAGAAUCAAUGAAACACCGCUAUUUUGAUUGGAUGUUUCGCAUAAGAAAUCCAAUUUUUCAGAAGUAUGAAGAGAAAGAAGAUCGUUACAAGAAUGGUCCUUCCUUCAUUCCCACCCCUUUCUGGAAAGAGAUGGUGGAUAAAUGGAUGGUGGGAGAUUGCGGGGAGACAAGAUCGACAAAUAAGGACAACAGAAAUAAGUCUAAAAUUUUCUCCACUACAGGUUCUCUACCAAUGGCGAAGUACAGAUAUGAAAUGUAUCUAGAGACGGGCUCUGAGCCUAGCCCCAUUGAUUGUUUUAAGAAAUUUCACACAAAGCAGGAUGACAAAGAAUGGGCAACUGAUCAUGCUAAGACAUUAUAUGAAAAAAUGGAUGCGAUAAAGGCCAAAGCUGUUUCUGAAGGUACUAAGACAAAUGAUUAUCAGAUCUUUUGUGAAGUGGUUGGUGAACCAAGUCAUGGUCGUAUUCUUGGCAUGGGAAUAGGUAUUAAGGCUAAGGAUGUGUACGGCUUAACUUCAUCUGGUAAAGGUUGUAGCAAGCAUUGCAGAGAAGAUUUUACAAAAGAAAAAGAAGAUUUGGAGGCAAGUCUUAGAUAGGAAAUGGAUUCCAAACUUGCAAAAGUUGUGGAGAAGCUUGAGGAGAAGUUUGCACAAAAGUUGCAGUUGAUGGGCAUACCACAACAAUCUGACAUAGAUCCAGUUACCACGGAUGGUACUAGCAGAGACGAAGAGGACAACUCAAACAAUAACAUAGAGGUUGAAAACAACUUGGAGAGUGACUCAGAGGAAGACUAAUAUAGAUCUUGUCAUAAAAUAGUUGUUUAAGUUUAAAACAGGGUUUAAUUUCAGGAUUUCUUUGUAUAUUUUAUAUUUUAAAGUUUGAACUUAUAUGAAUUUUUAUCUUUC